rnacentral:rRNA from 1 species
CUCGGGGAAAUUGCACUACGAGUAAAGAUGCUCGUUACGCGCAGCAGGACGGAAAGACCCCGUGACCUUUACUACAGUUUGGUAUUGGUGUUCGGAGUGGCUUGUGUAGGAUAGGUGGGAGACUGUGAAGCGGGCACGCUAGUGUUCGUGGAGUCAUUGUUGAAAUACCACUCUGGUCACUUUGGAUGUCUAACGUAGGACCCUGAUCGGGUUCAUGGACAGUGCCUGAUGGGUAGUUUAACUGGGGCGGUUGCCUCCCAAAGAGUAACGGAGGCGCCCAAAGGUUCCCUCAACCUGGUUGGCAAUCAGGUGGGGAGUGUUAGUACGCGAGCUGGGUUUAGAACGUCGUGAGACAGUUCGGUCCCUAUCCGCUGCGCGCGUUGGAAAUUUGAGAAGAUCUAUCCCUAGUACGAGAGGACCGGGAUGGACGAACCUCUGGUGUGUCAGUUGUUCUGCCAAGGGCACCGCUGAUUAGCUACGUUCGGACCGGAUAACCGCUGAAAGCAUCUAAGCGGGAAGCCGUCUUCGAGAUGAGAUUUCCAUGCACCUUGAGUGUGAGAGGCUCCCAGCAGACUACUGGGUUGAUAGGCCGGAUGUGGAAGCGGGGACUAACGACCCGUGGAGCUGACCGGUACUAAUAAGCCGAAGACUUGACAACACAA